rnacentral:rRNA from 1 species
AAGCGCUUGCAACCAGACUUGCGCGCUGUUGAUCAUCCGAGCUUCUGCCCGGUGCACUCAGCAGCGUUCAGGCCAGCAUCGGUUUUGGUGGGCGGAUAAAGGCCUUGGGAAUGUAGCUUCUUUCGGGGAGUGUUAUAGCCCUCGGUGCAAUGCGCCCUACCGGGACCGAGGACCGCGCUUCGGCUAGGAUGCUGGCGUAAUGGU